GUGCUCUCUUUGGCAGCACAUAUACUAAAAUAGGAAGGAUACGGAGAAGAUUAGCAUGGCCCUCGCGCAAGGAUGACUCUCAAAUUCUUGAAGCGUUCCAUAUUCAA
ensembl:snRNA U6 U6 spliceosomal RNA